GCGUGGAUUGACAUUCAAACCCAUCUUGCAGUUAAUAAAACCAAAUAUUUUAAUCAUUCACGGUGCCAAAGAGCAGAAUCAAAUGGACUUUUUGUUUCCAGAGAGCUCAUGAACUGCAUAGAAAAAGGUUUCUGAAGGUCUUUCCGAAUAUUUUCUGGAGCUUUGGCGGCCAUUUCAUGUCUGGUAGAUGACUAAUUUCAGAGGAAUGAUUUUUCCCCUGCAAAACACAUACCGAAAAAAGUCUGACUGCUUGGAAGAAAAAGAAAAGGUAGAGGAAUGAGAAGUGAAACAUUUUGGACCCGAUGCUGCCGUUGUGGUUCUGCUUUUGACCGAGGCGGCUACAUCUGUCUGGAGUUGUUUUGCCUAACUGAAUUUGUUGAAAAUGCUGAUUAUGUGCAGUGACCUGUGCAGAUUGGUGGACACAUUUUGACCGGUGAGCUACAUCUGAAGACUGCCAGACAACGUAUUAAUGUGCAAAGAGUUUUCGGGGAUUAGAUG